rnacentral:rRNA from 1 species
CCUACGGGUGGCAGCAGUGGGGAAUAUUGGGCAAUGGGCGCAAGCCUGACCCAGCAACGCCGCGUGAAGGAAGAAGGCUUUCGGGUUGUAAACUUCUUUUCUCAGGGACGAAGCAAGUGACGGUACCUGAGGAAUAAGCCACGGCUAACUACGUGCCAGCAGCCGCGGUAAUACGGAGGUGGCAAGCGUUAUCCGGAUUUACUGGGUGUAAAGGGCGUGUAGGCGGGACUGCAAGUCAGAUGUGAAACCCCUGGGCUCAACCUGUGGCCUGCAUUUGAAACUGUUGUUCUUGAGUACCGGAGAGGUCGACGGAAUUCCUAGUGUAGCGGUGAAAUGCGUAGAUAUUAGGAGGAACACCAGUGGCGAAGGCGGUUUGCUGGACAGCAACUGACGCUGAGGCGCGAAAGCGUGGGGAGCAAACAGGAUUAGAUACCCCAGUAGUC